CACAACAAAAACAUCGUACAGCCCACAGGAUGUGAAGCCAGGUCGCACUCCUUCCUUCACAGUAGGCCAUGAGGGCUCCUCCUUACACCCUUUAGUCGCCUUUUACGCCAAGCCGGGAACGCUGAGAAUUUUACCGUGGAACUUCAGGCGGGAGUGGAGGCCGAGCUGGACAUUGAGCUCUUCCGUGAGGCACUGAACCGUGCCGGCGGCGCCAACUACGGAACGGGCAUCCGGGAUAACUAAGCGUCCUCCAAGUUACUUUAUAUAUACAUUUUUUAUUUGCAACUCUUAACUGCUUACCAAACUGCUCCUUUCUCUUUAAUUAUUAUGAAUUAAUUUUAUGAAAUUUAAAAACUGUACAUUUUAUGAAAUAUUAUACAAGCAAUUGUAC